rnacentral:rRNA from 1 species
GACGAACGCUGGCGGCGUGCUUAACACAUGCAAGUCGAACGGAAAGGCCCUGCUUUUGUGGGGUGCUCGAGUGGCGAACGGGUGAGUAACACGUGAGUAACCUGCCCUUGACUUUGGGAUAACUUCAGGAAACUGGGGCUAAUACCGGAUAGGAGCUCCUGCUGCAUGGUGGGGGUUGGAAAGUUUCGGCGGUUGGGGAUGGACUCGCGGCUUAUCAGCUUGUUGGUGGGGUAGUGGCUUACCAAGGCUUUGACGGGUAGCCGGCCUGAGAGGGUGACCGGCCACAUUGGUCCUGAGAUACGGCCCAGACUCCUACGGGAGGCAGCAGUGGGGAAUAUUGCACAAUGGGCGGAAGCCUGAUGCAGCAACGCCGCGUGCGGGAUGACGGCCUUCGGGUUGUAAACCGCUUUCGCCUGUGACGAAGCGUGCGUGACGGUAAUGGGUAAAGAAGCACCGGCUAACUACGUG